rnacentral:rRNA from 2 species
AACUUUCAGCGAACGAAUGUCUUGGCUCCCACAACGAUGAAGAACGCAGCGAAACCGCUGAUACGUCUUGCGACUUGCAGAAUCUCGUGAAUCAUCGAAACUUCGAACGCACCUUGCGCUCCCGGGAUAUGCCUGGGAGCAUGCUUGUCGGGGAGGAGGAGG